AUGCUAGUUCAUGGCAACCAAACAGGCUUCAUUUCUGGUAGAAACAUCGCCGAAAACUUUGUCUUCGCAGCUGAUCUCAUUAGCUCUUGCCACUCUCGCAAAAAAACUACCAUGGCAAUCAAGUUAGAUUUCCGGAAAGCCUUCGACUCGGUCGCAUGGCCUGCGCUACAAAAAAAUUUGGCAGUACGGGGCUUCUCCUCCACCUUUCGUCGGUGGAUCCAAAACAUCCUCCGCACCGGCAAAAUGGCCAUUCUUCUUAACGGGGUCCCGGGAAACUAGAUCCAAUGCAAAAAUGGCUUGCGGCAGGGCGACCCAGUCUCCCCCUACCUCUUUCUCGUUGUUGCUGACCUCCUUCAGCAACUCAUCAUCCAAGACUCAGACCCCGCUCUACACCACCCCAUCUUCUCCCAUCUACCCCCCACUAUCCUCCAAUACGCCGAUGACACGCUCAUCGUAGCCGCUGCCUCUACGGCGGCCGCCUCUACCCUAAAAACCAUCCUCACUGCCUUCGCUCUUGCCACCAGCCUCACCAUCAACUUCGAUAAAACUACCUUAGCCACCCUACACACCGACGACUCCACGACUAAUAACAUUGCCUUCGCCCUGGGAUGCUCUUGCGCCUCCUUCCCGCAAACUUAUCUAGGUCUCCCUCUCGCCCCCACCAGACACCUCAAUAAUAUCUUCAAUCCUCUACUAGAACGUGCUAGGAAACUACUCUCUGGCUGGCGUGCUAAGCUCCUUGAUAAAGGUGAUCGGCUUAUUCUCAUCUCCUCCGUCCUAGACUCAAUCCUUGUUUACUUCAUGUCUGUGUUCCGCAUACCAAAGAAAACAAUUAAUAACUCUGGACUCGCUGCGGAGAGCUUUUUUUGGGCAGGAGAGGACGCUUGCUCAGGUGCCCAAUGUCUUAUUGCUUGGAAAAAUGUUUGUUUACCAAAAAAUACGGUGGCUUAG
rnacentral:rRNA from 1 species